rnacentral:lncRNA from 10 species
CUUAAAUCUCCACUGGAGUUUUCUAUUGUUGUUUUCUAUUUUCUAAAAGGAUCACAGGCAGAACAAUAUUUUUUAAGAAGUUGCUUGUUGCAUGCCUUCUAAACAGCCUACCCUGCCAAGUGCCAUGAUUACUGUGACCACAUCUUCAGAACCAGAAAACAGGAUACCUGGCCCUAAGCAUGCACUCAUGGAGCAGAAGAGUUUUAAAUCUGGAAUGCCACAGAAGACAGAAGAUAACAUGCUUACUACACUUGUAAAGCAACAUGCAGCCAGCCAUUUCCAGUGCAAAUUAUCUCAUUGCAUAGUGUGACAACUAAAGGUCAUAACCAUAAUACAAAUCGUGUUUUUCUUGUAAUCUAUCCUUGGGUUAAAUGUGAACUCCAGGAGAGCAAAGACUUUGUGGGUAUCCCCAGCACUGACAUCUGUGACCAGCAUAUGAUAAACUGUAGUUGUACAUAGGAGAGAAUCAAUAACUAUUUGUAGAACUGAAUAUAUUUUAUUGCAACCCUUUUCAUAAUGUUAAGAUAAUAGACAUCAUAGUGUAACUAACAGUGCCUUAGAAGUGGAUAUCAGAGACUUGGCUACCACCAACAAGCAACUGUGAAUGAGUAACUUCUCUGAAUAUCUCUUUGUUCAUCAGGAAAUUGAGAGAGAUGGGGCAGAUUUAUUUUUUAGGUCCCUUCCACCUGUGAAGUGCUAUUUCUCUCCACCUUCACUUAUGAUCAUUCAUUCACCAGGGCAUGCAGACAUUAGUCAUUGCUCAGAACUCAGUGUUUCCAGUAGACAUGGAUUGGGAGCAAUAAAAGUGGACCCAGAGCUAAUUACUGGGAAUUCCUACUUGAAUACAGAAUGCUAUAGCAGUUCAACACAUGGAAAAGGAUGUCUAGCCCAUGAGGAAUAAAUACUCGAUCUUUAAUGCUUCAUUUCUAGAGCCACAGCUUGUGUUAAAAGAACCACCUUCACCAAGCAGUCCAAUGAGAACAAACUCUAGGACAAACAUUCUCUGCCAACAGAGCUAACUAGAUGGAGAAAAAGAAAAUGAAUGAAAUCUAGGGAAAAAAAUGGAGCCACCCAGUUCAAGACAGUGCAGGUGGAGGAGCAGUAUGUUUAGACCGCAUCGCAGGUAGAAUUCAGAGGGACUGUAAGCGAUGCCUGGAAACGCUUGUUGACCAACAAUGGGCUCCUAUAGAACCAAGGGACUAUCAUUCUCCUAUUGCAGAAUAAUUUUUCUAGAUACUUUAUUUUAUUAUAAUGAAAGUUCCUUCUAGUAUCUUAAUGACCUUAGGGAAUUGGUAUUCAUAUCCUGUUAGUUGAGAGAAGAGAGUUUUUCCAGUGGGAACGUGAAUAAAUUUAAAUGAGUCACCCCUCAAGUACCAAGCACCACUGUUCCCAGGUUUAAAUGACAAUUACUAUUCCUUCAGUGAACCAUGGCCACUCUGAGAUUGGGUGUGGGGAGGAGAAAGGAAUGGAAUGCCAGUGAAACCAUCUUCUAUUGUCAUCCUCCUCUGGGGCCUCACUCAGUUGUAGUCUUGCAUCUGAGACCUUGGCCUCUUUGUGAAAUAAACAUUUCUUGGCCCUGUCUUGCAGGAAAAUUGGAAGCCUGACCCUAAAAUAAGCUAAUAUCAUCCAUAGACCAGACCAAAAGAAAAGCAGGGAGAAUUUGGCACAAAGCAGCUCUCUUCAAGAAAUUAUUUUCCAUGUCAUAUUUGCAUAAAUUAGUCAUGGGCCCGCCAAUUCAAUGAAAGAGGAAAAGAGCACUCAUGACCCUAGUGUGCUGGCAUCCUGUUGUCCUUUAUAGCUAAGGUCAGACUGUUUCUCCUUUUGCCUCAUGUCGGCUCCUCUUAGUCGACUAAGACUGGCAAAUCUGAGGCUACAGAUUGUGCUAUGAAUGAGCAGCUGGAAUUGCGCAACAUUUUACUUGGCUAAUAUUUCAGUUUGUUGAGUCAGUGGCCUGACAAGUAGCUACAGCCCAUGAAACAGCAUUUUCUGACUCAGUGCAUGUGCGAAAGAAGUAGUAGCUAAAGGUUCUGUUGGCACAGCCUUCUGACUCCACAGCAUUGUUCUAGGAUCUAGAUUCCUCUCUACUUAACUCGGUUUCAUUGCUUCCUAUAAAUUCUAUGUAAAUCUCAGACCCUCAGUAACAUAUCCCAAGACACAUGAUGAGCAACACUUGGUAUUCAGUUUUCUCCAGCGCUGUGAAAGAGUCCCACCAGGAAACAAUAAGGCCUUUUAGCCUAUUAAUUCAUGAGCAAUUUGAUGCCUCUUAGGCGAUAAGUGCAAGUUGAGAAAUGAAUUUCCUGCUGCUAAAAUUCCAACGCUUUAGAAACUCUUCAGUGAACAAAUAAAAGUUUAUUCUUUGCAAUAAUGAUGGAAACAAAGACUUUCAUAAAACCAAACAAUUGAAAUGUCUUGAUAAAUGCCUGCAGAGUUGGCUAGGUUUCUAAACUAUCAAAUAAUGAGUUUACCUCUUCUUACACUUUUUCAAGAAUCCAUUGAAGAAUCAAGAUAGGAAAGAGUAUGAUUCUUCAUUUUUCCUAGCCAUGCUCCACUGCUCUAUGUUAUCAUAAAAGGACUUUAAUUAAAGUGUUAUUCCAUUAAUUGCCCAAGAAGUCAUAUUUGAAAGAAAUAAAUGCUUAUAUAUGUAUGCUUACAUGUCCCUUCUGGAAGUCUUAACCUUUAAAACUACUCCAGCCCCUUCCCCAAACGUCCUUCCCCAAUUCCUUAUGCACUUACUGGAUUCAAAGCACGACACUAUAAAAGCUGUGAGAAGAAAAAAAUAUAAAUUUAAAGAAAACUUUUUUUCAGAAAGAUAAUUAAAUUCAAUGUAACAAUAAUAACUACUCGUUUUCAAAACUCAGCUCUUCAACUAUUUCUCCUAGAAUUUUUUUCCAAAACUCUUACUUCAAGUCUAACACUCCUUCAUCUCAGUUUUCUCUUUCAUGAUUAUGUAUUUUAACUCAUAGGUAUACUCUUUAAGACAGGGGCUAUCCCUGAGACCUAUCCCACAUCCUGAGAAGGGCUUGGCACUCUCCUUGUCAGAUAGCCUGUUGCCUCCUCAGCCACACUGUGAGCUCCUUGAUAGAAAGAAUUGUGCUAUCUGUGGCUUUCAGAGCCCUAUUCAGAUACUUGAUGCUUAACAUGUGCUUGUAGAGUCGGUAAACUGAAUGUAUGUGGAGCCUCCAGAACUGUGUUCCCAUUGAGGAUGACAGGGAACAGAUCAAUCCUUGUCCUACAUGGCCUAAAUCUUAGUUUGACAAAUAUCUGGAAAGAAUUACAAAAAUAUAAGGUAGGAAUGACUUGGGAGUCCAGGGUGGUGUCUGAACCCUAGUCACUGCCUUGGGCACACAUUUCUCAUACUGUUGCAAUAUCACAGUUGUUGACUUUCAGUUCACUCAGUUGGUCAACUCCCUAAAGUUGGUUAAGGACCCUCAUACCCCUCAUCCUACUCUUUUCUUCUACCCCAAACCCCCUUUGCUCAGGACUUCCAGUGGUUCCCUCCUUUUAACCUCAGUAUUAGCCCUUUAUCCCCAACUCUUUGCCUGCCAAAUGACAUAGGAGCAAAGGAUGAGAGGGAGCUGUCCUGGAGGGAAGUAGUACCUGCAAGGUAAUCAGACCUUUCAUACUACUCAGAUCUUGUGGCCAUCUCAUGUGUGAUUAUGUUACAAGGAUGUUUGUUUUCCUUAUGAU